ACUCCUACGGGAGGCAGCAGUGAGGAAUAUUGCGCAAUGGGGGAAACCCUGACGCAGCCAUGCCGCGUGAGUGAAGAAGGCCUUCGGGUUGUAAAGCUCUUUUAGUCGGAAAGAAAGAGUUGCAAUGAAUAAUUGUGAUUUAUGACGGUACCGACAGAAAAAGCACCGGCUAACUACGUGCCAGCAGCCGCGGUAAUACGUAGGGUGCGAGCGUUAAUCGGAAUUACUGGGCGUAAAGGGUGCGCAGGCGGUCUUGCAAGUCAGAUGUGAAAGCCCCGGGCUUAACCUGGGAAUUGCGUUUGAAACUACAAGGCUAGAGUGCAGCAGAGGGGAGUGGAAUUCCAUGUGUAGCAGUGAAAUGCGUAGAGAUGUGGAAGAACACCGAUGGCGAAGGCAGCUCCCUGGGUUGACACUGACGCUCAUGCACGAAAGCGUGGGGAGCAAACAGGAUUAGAUACCCUGGUAGUC
rnacentral:rRNA from 1 species